CGAACGGGUGAGGAACACGUAAGGAACUUGCCCCAAAGACGAGGAUAACCACUGGAAACGGUGGCUAAUACUGGAUAGGAUAUAGAUUCGCAUGAACCUAUAUUUAAAGGUGCGUUUGCACCACUUUGGGAGAGCCUUGCGCAGCAUUAGUUAGUUGGUAGGGUAACGGCCUACCAAGGCAACGAUGCUUAGCUGGACUGAGAGGUUGAACAGCCACACUGGGACUGAGACACGGCCCAGACUCCUAUGGGAGGCAGCAGUAGGGAAUUUUCGGCAAUGGGCGAAAGCCUGACCGAGCAAUGCCGCGUGAACGAUGAAGGCCUUCGGGUCGUAAAGUUCUGUUGUAAAGGAAGAAUGAUCAGAGGAGGAAAUGCCUUUGAUUUGACGGUACUUUACCAGAAAGCUCCGGCUAACUACGUGCCAGCAGCCGCGGUAAUACGUAGGGAGCGAGCGUUAUCCGGAAUUAUUGGGUGUAAAGCGUGCGUAGGCGGCGUGUUAAGUCGAAUGUGAAAGCCCACAGCUUAACUGUGGAGGGUCAUUCGAAACUGGCAUGCUAGAGUACGGCAGAGGUUAGUGGAAUUCAAUGUGUAGCGGUAAAAUGCGUAGAUAUAUUGAGGAACACCAGUGGCGAAGGCGGCUAACUGGACCGGAACUGACGCUGAGGCACGAAAGCGUGGGUAGCAAACAGGAUUAGAUACCCUGGUAGUCCACGCCGUAAACGUUGAGAACUAAGUGUUGGGGUUACCCAGUGCUGAAGUUAACGCAUUAAGUUCUCCGCCUGGGAAGUACAAUCGCAAGAUUGAAACUCAAAGGAAUAGACGGGGGCCCGCACAAGCGGUGGAGCAUGUGGUUUAAUUCGAUGCAACGCGAAGAACCUUACC
rnacentral:rRNA from 1 species